GGAAGUGUGGCCGAGCGGUUGAAGGCACCGGUCUUGAAAAUCGGCGACCCGAAAGGGUUCCAGAGUUCGAAUCUCUGCGCUUCCGCCA
rnacentral:tRNA from 3 species